AUAAACGCGAUGACGAGAAGAGUAGAUGAACAGGAUUCUUGAACAGAGAGCUCUGGUACGCUGAGAAGGAGCAGGAAACCAUUCAUUGAACCAAGCCUCUGAGCGGCACAUCGGAACUGCAUGAUCAGGGAUGGUGUGACGGGUGCUCCUGUUACAGAGCUAGGGUAUCAUCCAUCCGCAUCGCGGUGGCCGUACCUGAUGAGGCUGAUAGUGCGAGCUAUUGGCGAAUAAGGGGUGGCAAUCACGAGAACCAAUCUCGUCCCCAAG
rnacentral:ncRNA from 1 species